UGACUUUCAAAGAUUGUUGUUAAAAUGAAUAUUAAGAGAACGGUUCGAUUAGUAAAGUUAGAUUGGUACUCACUUCCUUCUCGAACACCAUGCAACAAACAUCGCAAGUGUUAAGGAAUGUCGAGUUAUAAACCUGAUGAUGGUAGGCGGGGCCUGUUGAAACGUCGUUUAAAAAUAUAAAUGAUAACUAAAAGUGCAUUAUUCUAUCCCAGAUCGUCACCCAACGAAAUCAAAUCGGUAUUCACUACGAUUCUAUCGACAGUUUAUUAAAUCUUAGAAAAUGAAACAGUCUGCCAUAACGGAAGUAAUAGGACUUCUGCACAAACAGUUGGCAAAAUGAAUUGAGGUGGUUCUUACGAACAGAAACGUCAAAACUCACCCUGGGUGCAUGUUCAUGUUCAUGGUCAUAUUCAUCGAUACGUUAACGGACAUCGCCGGUCCAGACCCGUAAUGGGAUGAAGGUACCGGAGG